AAUGAACGUUGGCGGCGUGGAUUAGGCAUGCAAGUCGAGCGCGAUAUGUAGCAAUACAUGGAGAGCGGCGAAAGGGAGAGUAAUACGUAGGUAUCUACCCUCGGGUCUGGGAUAGCAGCGGGAAACUGCUGGUUAUACCAGAUAACGUCUCCGGACCAAAGGCGUGAUUCCACCUGAGGAGGAGCCUACGGCCUAUUAGCUAGUUGGUAGGGUAACGGCCUACCAAGGCAAAGAUGGGUAUGGGGUGUGAGAGCAUGCCCCCACUCACUGGGACUGAGACACUGCCCAGACACCUACGGGUGGCUGCAGUCGAGAAUCUUCGGCAAUGGGCGAAAGCCUGACCGAGCGACGCCGCGUGCGGGAUGAAGGCCUUCGGGUUGUAAACCGCUGUCGUAGUGGAGGAAAUGUAGGAGAGUUAUCUCUUCUACUUGACUAAUACUAGGAGGAAGGACCGGCUAAUCUCGUGCCAGCCGCCGCGGUAA
rnacentral:rRNA from 1 species